UACGGAGGAUGCAAGCGUUAUCCGGAUUUAUUGGGUUUAAAGGGUGCGUAGGCGGUUUGCUAAGCGGGAGGUGAAAUGCCGGCGCUCUACGUCGGAAGUGCCUCCCGGACUGGUGGACUGGAAUGACUCUGCCGUGGGAGGAAUGUGUAGUGUAGCGGUGAAAUGCUUAGAGAUUACACGGAACACUGAUUGCGAAGGCAUCUCACGAAGGGUUGAUUGACGCUGAGACACGAAAGCGUGGGGAUCAAAC
rnacentral:rRNA from 1 species